UACGUAGGGGGCGAGCGUUGUCCGGAUUUAUUGGGCGUAAAGAGCUCGUAGGCGGUCUGUCGCGUCGGAUGUGAAAAUCCAGGGCUCAACCCUGGACCUGCAUUCGAUGCGGGCAGACUAGAGUUCGGUAGGGGAGACUGGAAUUCCUGGUGUAGCGGUGAAAUGCGCAGAUAUCAGGAGGAACACCGGUGGCGAAGGCGGGUCUCUGGGCCGAAACUGACGCUGAGGAGCGAAAGCGUGGGGAGCAAACAGG
rnacentral:rRNA from 1 species